rnacentral:sRNA from 1 species
CCCAGAGGUAUUGAUUGGUGAUGUUCUGGUUUUCCCGCCGGAAAGCCGACCAACGCUUACACCAACCUACGCAGAUGCGUAGGUUUUUUUU